rnacentral:rRNA from 1 species
UACUAGAGUAGCACUCGCAUAUCAAUAAGCGGAGGAAAAGAAACUAACUAGGAUUCCCUUAGUAACGGCGAGUGAAGCGGGAAGAGCUCAAAUUUGAAAUCUUCAAGGUUCUACCUUGACGAAUUGUAGUUUAAAGAAGUGUUUUCUGUUGGAAGUUUUGGUAAAAGUUCUUUGGAAUAGGACAUCAUAGAGGGUGAGAAUCCCGUAUUUGGUCAUUCCUUCUAGCGUUGUGAUACACUUUCAACGAGUCGGAUUGUUUGGGAAUGCAGUCCAAAAUGGGUGGUAAAUUUCAUCUAAAGCUAAAUAUUGGCGAGAGACCGAUAGCGAACAAGUACCGUGAGGGAAAGAUGAAAAGAACUUUGAAAAGAGAGUUAAACAGUACGUGAAAUUGUCAAAAGGGAAGCGUUUGACACCAGUGUUGUUUUUCCGAAAAUCAAUUACGAAUGUUUUGUUUUUAAGAAGUUAUGACUUCAUCGGCUUGCUUCUUUCUUUACGAAACUUUCUUAAUGCACUUUUCGGUUAACAAGUCAACAUCAAUUUCUUUUGUUGUAAAAGGGUAUGAGGAAGGUGGCUUUCUUUUCGGAGAAAGUGUUUAUAGCCUUGUGCCUCUGCAAUCGGAGAGAUUGAGGUCUGCAGCGUAGAUCCUUCGGGGUUAGAUACAUUUGUGCUAAGUUAUAGCUUUUCAUAGACAACUUGUUGACUAUGUUUAGUCUUGUAGCUUACUCGCUUAUGCUAUUUUACCUACGCUUAGGAUGUUGAAGAUGUAGCACAUCAU